rnacentral:rRNA from 1 species
UGAAUACGAGAUGCUACGGCGUCGAAGCAGUCUAUGUCAUACUUCCAAGAAAAGCUCGCACUGUCAUAAACAAAUAAUGCCUGUACCAUAACCGACACAGGUGGGUAGGUAGAGUAUACUAAGGGGCGCGAGAUAACUCUCUCUAAGGAACUCGGCAAAAUGACUCCGUAACUUCGGGAGAAGGAGUGCCUUAUUUAUAAGGUUGCAAUAACAAGAUCCAAGCAACUGUUUAUCAAAAACACAGGUCUCCGCUAAGUCGUAAGACGAUGUAUGGGGGCUGACGCCUGCCCAGUGCCAGAAGGUUAAAGAAGUUGGUUAGCAUUCGCGAAGCUGAUAACUGAAGCCCUGGUGAACGGCGGCCGUAACAAUAACGGUCCUAAGGUAGCGAAAUUCCUUGUCGGGUAAGUUCCGACCCGCACGAAAGGCGUAAUGAUUUGGAUACUGUCUCGGAGAGGGGCUCGGUGAAAUAGACUUGUCUGUGAAGAUGCGGACUACCUGCACCAGGACAGAAAGACCCUAUGAAGCUUUACUGUAACUUGAGAUUGAAAUUGGACUUUACUUGCGCAGUAUAGGUGGGAGGCGUUGAUAAUAUUCUUGCGGGAUUAUUUGAGCCAUCAGUGAGAUACCACUCUUGUAAUGUUAGAUUUCUAACUUUGUAUCAUUAUCUGGUCAAAGGACAGUUUCAGGCGGGCAGUUUGACUGGGGCGGUCGCCUCCUAAACGGUAACGGAGGCGCACAAAGGUUUCCUCUGAACGGGUAGAAAUCGUAUCUAGAGUGUAAAGGCAUAAGGAAGCUUGACUGUGAGACCUACAAGUCGAGCAGGGACGAAAGUCGGUCUUAGUGAUCUGACGGUGCUGAGUGGAAAGGCCGUCACUCAACGGAUAAAAGUUACUCUAGGAUAACAGGCUGAUCUCCCCCAAGAGUUCACAUCGACGGGGAGGUUUGGCACCUCGAUGUCGGCUCAUCGCAUCCUGGGGCGGUAGUACGUCCCAAGGGUUGGGCUGUUCGCCCAUGAAAGCGGUACGCGAGCUGGGUUCAGAACGUCGUGAGACAGUUCGGUCCAUAUCCGGUGUAGGCGUUAGAAUAUUGAGAGGAGCCUUCUUUAGUACGAGAGGACCGAGAAGGACAUACCUCUGGUGUACCAGUUAUCGUGCCAACGGUAAACGCUGGGUAGCUAUGUAUGGAGUGGAUAACCGCUGAAAGCAUCUAAGUGGGAAGCCCACCUCAAGAUAAGUAUUCUCAUC